GAUGAACGCUAGCGGGAGGCCUAACACAUGCAAGCCGAGCGGUAUUUGUCCUUCGGGACAGAGAGAGCGGCGUACGGGUGCGGAACACGUGUGCAACCUGCCUUUAUCUGGGGGAUAGCCUUUCGAAAGGAAGAUUAAUACCCCAUAAUAUAUCGAAUGGCAUCAUUCGAUAUUGAAAACUCCGGUGGAUAGAGAUGGGCACGCGCAAGAUUAGAUAGUUGGUGAGGUAACGGCUCACCAAGUCAGUGAUCUUUAGGGGGCCUGAGAGGGUGAUCCCCCACACUGGUACUGAGACACGGACCAGACUCCUACGGGGGGCAGCAGUGAGGAAUAUUGGACAAUGGGUGAGAGCCUGAUCCAGCCAUCCCGCGUGAAGGACUAAGGCCCUAUGGGUUGUAAACUUCUUUUAUACUGGGAUAAACCUACUUACGUGUAAGUAGCUGAAGGUACAGUAUGAAUAAGCACCGGCUAACUCCGU
rnacentral:rRNA from 1 species